rnacentral:lncRNA from 10 species
CAACCUUCACACCAUGGGGGCCUGUGAGACACCCCACGUGGAUGGGUUGGGGCCAUGGCACAGGUCUCGAGGGUCCUGGGUGCUAAAGACUGUGCAGAAGGACGGGGUCUGACCAGUGAAGCAGCCGGCAACAUCUGCAGACAGUCACUGGCUCCAACUUUUGUUUUUGUCACUGUGUCACCCAGGCUGGAGUGCAGUGGUGCGACCUCAGCUCAUUGCAACCUCCGCCUCCUGGGUUCAAGUGAUUCUCCUGCCUCAGCCUCCCGAGUAGCUGGGAUUACAGGCAGGCACCACCACGCCUGGCUAAUUUUUUGUAUUUUUAGUAGCGAUGGGGUUUCAUCAUGUUGGCCAGGCUGGUCUCAAACAACUGACCUCAGGUGAUCCACCUGCCUCGGCCUCCCAAAGGGCUGGGAUUACAGGCGUGAGCCACCGCGCCUGGCCUCCAUUUAUUUGUAAAUAGAUAAUUCUCAACAGUAUGUUUACUCUGGAUAAACAUCAGUCAGUGCGUAGAACUGGUAAAUGUCAGAGAAAUGUAUCACUUAUCAGAGCGUCUCACAGUCUAGUCCUGUAUUUCUUCUGAACUCACGCUCUGCAAAGCCAGGGCUGAAUGUAUCUACCAUACCUGCUUGUUUACCUCCAAACCUUGCAAUACAUUUAUACAAAAUAUUUAUUUCACAGCUUAUCUUAAAACAAAUGUAAAAGGUAUCUUCAAAUAAAUCAGACUGAAUCUCU